rnacentral:lncRNA from 1 species
GUGUCAUUAUCGGGUAUUCCUCGAUGUCCAAUGGGUAUCGGUGUUAGGAUCCUAUUACUUGUCAUAUGUAUCAUUCGUUGGAUGUCACCUUUUUGAAAACUGUUUUAUUCUUCUCAAAUUCACCAUCUUCUCUGAACCUUGCUUCUGAGUUAAUUGUGGAAGAGGAUUUUGCACCUCCCUGCCCUCUUCCUAUACUUGAGUCUCUUACAUUAUCACCUAGUGGCUCUUUGCCCUCGAGUGUUAUUACCGACCCUUCAUAGGACUACCCCUCAUUGUUCGCAUGCUCUAGCUCCCCUGCCAUCAUCUUCUUUAGAUUCAGGUAUCUCUUCUCCUUUAGUUUCUGAUAUUCCUCCUCCCUAUUAUCCCACAUGUGUUGGUCGCCCUAUUGCAUAGUAUUGUUUUAUCAAGGUCUUUCGGACUUCUAUUAGUCUUUUUUUAGUCCGAUGGACUCGAUCUUGAUUCCUCGCUCUGUCCAUGAAACUCUUCAGAAUCCUCUAUAGGUGUUUGCAAUGAAGGUCGAAAUGGACGCCCUUCACACAAUCGAGCUUGAGAUGUUGUUGCUUUGCCAAAAGGUGGGUGAACUGUUGGUUGUAAAUGGGUGUUCAGUGUGAAAUAUUUGGCAGAUGGUUUAGUAGAUAGAUAUAAAGCUCGCCUUGUUGCUAAAGGCUUUACUCAUAUUGCAAGUAAAGAUUUUGGUGCCACAUUUGUCCUGAUUGCUAAAUUAAACACCAUUCGUCUUCUAAUUUUCCUCCCUACUUUUUAUUCGUGGCAUCUUUAUCAAUUGGAUAUAAAAAAAUGCCUUCCUUAAUAGUGACUUUUCUGAGACUAUAUAUAUAGAUCCACCUUCAGGUUUUCAGGCUCAGGAGUAGUAUUCGGAGAAUAUUUGUCGCCUCCGAAAAAUCUAUCUAUGACCUUAAACAAUCACCUCGGGCUUGGUUUCAUCACUUUAGUGAGAUAGUCUUAUCUAUGGGGUUCGUUCAGUGCCACUUAGAUCAUACCUGCUUUAUUCGUCGCCAAUCUCAGGGUCGGUACAUCAUUAUCUCAAUUUAUGUAGAUGAUAUCAUCAUCACGGUAGACAAUGUUUUUGGUAUUGUUUAGGUGAAACAUGAACUUAUGAGGUCAUUCAACAUUAAGGAUUUGGGAUCUCUUUGUUAUUUUCUGGGUAUUGAGAUUACUCAAUCUUUUCAAGGUAUAUAUCUCUCUCAAAGGAAGUAUUCUCUUGAUCUUCUUCAAGAUACAGGCAUGCUUGGGUGUAGACUUGCAUCUACACUUAUGGUUCCAAAUCUGAUGAUAUCAGGCGAGUCAGGGGAACUGUUACCAGAUCCAUCUAUCUAUCAGCGGCUUGUGAGUCGACUCUUUUAUUUGACAAAUAUAAGGUCGGAUCUCACGUUUGCUAUUAGUGUUGUGAGUCAGUUUAUGCACUCGCCACAUACCACUCAUCUAGAUAUUGUGUAUCACAUUCUUCAGUACCUUAAGACAUGUCUUGGUCUUAGGUUGUUCUACAAGUCUAGAAUCCAGUCGGGCCUCUCAUGUUUUACAAAUGCUGAUUAUGCUAGUUCUAAGAGUGAUAGAGGCUCUACUUCUGAUUUUUGUACUUUUCAUGGUAGUCAUCAAUCUUUGAAAAAUAAGAAGCAAGCAAUGGUCUCUAAGUCUUCUGCUAAAGCUGAGUACCAUGCUAUGGCUCAAGACACAAGUGAGCUUCUUUGGUUUCGAUCUCUUCUGAUUGAGUUGGGCUUCUCAGUGACAGACUCAUCUUCAUUGUUUUGUGAAAAUAAGUCUAUUAUCAUGUUAUCAUUUGAUUCAAUUCUUCAUGAGAGAACGAAGCACAUCGAAGUUGAUAUUCACUUCAUUCGGAAAAAAGUUCGUUUUAAGGUUAUUACUCCUAGUUUUGUCCCAUCUUCUGCUCAGACCGCUAAUAUAUUUACUAAGUCUAUUGAACUCUUAUUGCUGAAGUCAUUUCUUGUCAAGGUGGGGCUCGUCGAUAUCUUCGCCUCAGCUUGUUGGGGAGUGUUGGAAUUAGGAGAUUCAUUUUCUAAUUCUAUUAGGAAGCUGCUGGAAUUAGGAGAUUCAUUUUCUAAUUCUAUUAGCAAGCUGCUGGAAUUAGGAGAUUUGUUUUCUAACCAAAUUAGGAAAUUAUCCAUAAUUUAUUCUCUUUGAUAUCUUUCUUUCUUUAUUUUUUCCUUACUUAGAUAUAGAUUAUAUUAUAUAUUGAUGAAUAGUUGAUGAAAAUAAUAUAAGCUUUUCAUAAUUUUCUAUUCUCAUGUCCCCAACCUCGUCCUCAUUGACGUAUGAUCGAAAUAUCUCCAACAGUUCAUGCUAAUUGUAAACGUCACGCUCGAGAAUGAUCCCUUCGAAUGGCAACUUCUUUCCAAUAAUCUUGUUGAAUAGGUAGUCAUUAAUCAGUUGUUGAUCGGUGGGACGAAAUUUGAUACCUUCACGAAGCCUUUUAGCCAUUGAUCAAACAGUCUUUCUCUGCCGAUUUUCUUUGGAAUGAAUUGCU